UGUAGUCAUAUGCUUGUCUCAAAGAUUAAGCCAUGCAUGUCUAAGUAUAAAUAACUUUAUAUUGUGAAACUGCGAAUGGCUCAUUAAAUCAGUUAUGAUCUACGUGACAAAUUCUUUACUACUUGGAUAACCGUGGUAAUUCUAGAGCUAAUACAUGCAAAAAAGCCCUGACUCACGAAGGGGUGCACUUAUUAGAUAAAACCAACGCGGGGUAAAACCUGUUUCGUGGUGAAUCAUAAUAAUUAAGCGGAUCGCAUGGCCUUGAGCCGGCGACGGUCCACUCGAUUUUCUGCCCUAUCAUGGUUGAGAUUGUAAGAUAGAGGCUUACAAUGCCUAUAACGGGUAACGGGGAAUUAGGGUUCGAUUCCGGAGAGGGAGCCUGAGAAACGGCUACCACAUCCAAGGAGGGCAGCAGGCGCGCAAAUUACCCAAUCCCGACACGGGGAGGUAGUGACAAUACAUAACAAUGCAGGGCCUUUACGGUCUUGCAAUUGGAAUGAGUACAAUUUAAAUCCCUUAACGAGGAUCAAUUGGAGGGCAAGUCUGGUGCCAGCAGCCGCGGUAAUUCCAGCUCCAAUAGCGUAUAUUAAAGUUGUUGCAGUUAAAACGUCCGUAGUCAAACUUUAGUCUUACCGGCGCGGUGGCCUGGUCUUCAUUGAUCAAGCUCGCUGUCGCUGGAGACUCCACGUCCGCUGGCUCCUAGUCCUCGUGGCUAGGGUUCUUGUGGACAAUUACCAUGAGCAAAUCAGAGUGUUUAAAGCAGGCUUUUAAGCUUGAAUGUGUUAGCAUGGAAUAAUGAAAUAUGACUUUAGUCCUAUUUUCGUUGGUUUAGGUACUAUAGUAAUGAUUAAUAGAAACGGUUGGGGGCAUUUGUAUUUGGCCGCUAGAGGUGAAAUUCUUGGAUUGGCCGAAGACAAACUACUGCGAAAGCAUUUGACCCAGGACGUUUUCAUUGAUCAAGGUCUAAAGUUAAGGGAUCGAAAACGAUUAGAUACCGUCGUAGUCUUAACCACAAACUAUGCCGACUAGGGAUCA
rnacentral:rRNA from 1 species